UGAUAGCUCAGCGGUUAAAGAGCGUGCCUUACAGUUGGCAGGUUCCGGGUUCGAAUCCC
rnacentral:tRNA from 1 species